UUUCUUCUAGCUCUCCCUUUCUUCCUCUUCAUAACUCUGCUGAAACGUAGCGUUAGCAACCAUGGCUAUUGCAAUCAUCUUCCCCCAGGCCCUCCAAGUCUUCCCUUGAUUGGUCACUUACAUAUGUUGAUGUUUGAUAACUCAGACCUCCUUCAUAUUUUCCUUUGGAAACUCUCUAAACAAUAUGGUCUGUCCUUACGACUUGGAUUUAGGCCAACCCUUGUAGUUUCUUCAGCAGAAAUGGCUAAAGAGGUUAUGAAAACUCGUGACCUCGACUUCUGCAGUAGGCCUAAUCUAUGUGCUAUUCGCAAAUUAUCUUACAAUGCCUCGGAUUUGUCUUUUUCACCAUACAGUGAGUCCUGGAAGGGGAUUAGGAAAAUUUGUGUUGUACAUCUGUUCAGCAGAGUGCGAAAGUAUCGUUCCAUUCGAGAAGACGAAGUUGCUGGCCUGGUUGAGAAAAUAUGUCGAUUAUCCGUUGAUUCUAAGCCUGUCAACUUGAGUGAGGCAAUGGUGUGCUUAUCCUGUUCAAUAAUUUCAAGAGUGGGCUUUGGUAAGAGGUACGGUGAAGAAGGAGCUGAAGGAAGUAGGUUACAUGGGCUGAUUAAAGAAAGUGUAGCCAUGUUUACAAGCUUUAGUUUUUCUGACUGUUUUCCUUUCAUGGGUUGGGUUGAUAGAUUCACUGGGUUCCACGCUCGUCUUGAAAGAUUUUUCAUAGAACUUGAUAGCUUCUAUCAACAACUCAUUGAUGAACAUCUUAAUCCGAAUAGGCUAAAACCAGAGCAAGAGGACAUACUCGAUGUGCUAUUACAGACAUGGAAGGAUCGUGAUUUUCUAUUUGAUCUUACCCUAGAUCACAUAAAAGCUGUUAUUAUGGUGAUUUCAUCUUCACCCAAAACGUUUAGUAUUAGCUUCACGCUUUAUGUAUGCAUAACUUUGAUUUUUUUAACUUUUGCAGAAUGUUCUUUUUGCUGGAACGGAGACAACAGCGGUUACUGUGAUUUGGGUCAUGAGCUUCUUGAUGAAAAAUCCAGAUUGUUUGAAGAAAGCUCAAGAGGAAGUAAGGGGUCUGAUUGGGAAAAAAGGAUUUCUAAAUGAAGAUGAUGUUCAAGCUUUAACUUACCUACAGGCUGUGGUAAAAGAAACAUUUAGAUUGCAACCAGCAGUUCCAUUGUUGCUACCACGAGAAACACUUCGAAAAUGCUGCAUAGGUGGGUACAAAGUACCUGCCAAUACCUUGGUGUACGUGAAUGCAUGGGCAAUAGGAAGAGACCCUGAAGCUUGGAAGAAUCCUGAAGAAUUUUGUCCUGAAAGGUUCAUUGGCAGCUCUAUUGACUACAAAGGGCUAAACUUUGAGCUCAUACCGUUUGGUGCGGGUAGAAGGGUUUGCCCUGGAAUGCAUAUGGCAGUUGCAGCAGUGGAGCUUGCUCUUGCUAAUCUUCUUUACAAGUUUGAUUGGGAAAUGCCGACCGAAAUGAACAAAGAAAACUUAAGCUUUGAUGGCACGCCUGGUUUAGUUACGCACAAAAAAGAUGCUCUUAUCCUUGUGGCUAGGAAGAUUAAUGAUUAAUCAGUGUAUCAUUAUAGUAACUUAUUUGAUGCUUAUUGCUCUAGUUUCUACUUAGUACAGUUUCAUAUUGAACACUUAUCAAACGUUAGUAACACCUCGCUUGUUUAAUUAACCAGCAGUUUCUGCUAUGUUUGUCAAGCUACCAUCUCAUUUGAAUAUAUUUAUAUAUAUAUAUAUACAUUGCAAAAAGCAAUUUAUAUAUAUCUGCAAAUAUACAAAUAUGUGUUAUCCAUUAACCAUUAUUAUCCUUACAUAGUCUGAAGGAAUAUUGUAUGUCUUUCUCAGUUGGUGUGUGGUAUACAAUUAACAAACACUAGUUUUCAUUCUUGUACCGCACAGGUUAGUUAUAUGUAUUAAAUAUUAUAUAUGUAUAUAAUGUUCAUUUUCACAAACAUUAUAAAAUAAUGUAUUCUAAAAUAUAUAAAUAUUCUAUAUUGUAUAUUAUCAAAAUAUUAUAUUUUAAUAUUGUAAAAAUACUAUAUCAUAUAUGUAACACCCCUCACUCGACUUGAUCGUUAGGUCCGAGUCACGGGAUGCUAUAGUCAAUUCAAUUCAUAAUCACCAAAAAAAGACCUUUCUCGAGCUUUAUGCAAGCUUACGUAUGCCCUAGAAUCAACCGGAAUUGAACAGAGACUAAUUUACAACAUUUUCAAAAUUUCAAAUCAAGCAUAUCAUAAAUAAAUCCUUCAAAUAUUCAAUUAUGUUAUAAACACUAAGAUAUUAUGAUAUACAAUUAAAUUUGAGCCUUAAUCGAGCUUACGAAAGCUCUUUUAUUGACCCGAACAUGAAAUAGGACCAAAUUUCGAAGUUUUGAAAAUUAAAGGUUCUAUGUCGUGACGAGACUCUCUCCAUGUCAUGACGUCGCCAAACAAUAUGUCACGUCACGACGUCGAACCAACUAAUGUCAAGAUAUCACAAACUAUUGGUCAACGUUGCAACAAGAGAAAAUCAAUGUCGAAACAAAGAACUUGUUUCUAGUAAAUUUUGGCCAUUAGGUACCAAUUUUAUGCCCAAACUCAAACAUAUUCAUUUGAUGCCUAAAUGAGCAUUUAAAACUUGCAUAAACCAAUUCAAAACAUAAAUUAAAUAUUCACUUAUCCAACCCCAAUAUCUACCAAGCCAAUAUGCCACAAUUUGGCACUAUUUCAUGACAAAACAUUUCAAUUUCAUUCAUUCAAGUCCAAAUGUUACCAACAUACCUAUAAUUCAUUCAAUGACAACCGUUUUCAUAACAUAUCAUUCUCAAUUGUACUAAUUCACCAUCACAAUUCCAUUUCAAGUACUCCAUUUAUCCAUCAACCUCCAAACAUACCAAAACAUAUAUUCUUAGAAAUAUGCACAUAGCUUACAAGGUUAAGCAUUAAACUAGGUUCAACCCAAAACAUUAUUCACAAGAAAACAUAGACAAACACCUAAGUUCAUGCCACAAUAUCGAGUUAGAAAAUGAGCAAAAGUUUAUUGAGGUGAUAGGUGGAUAGUAUGAGCUUCAAGGCAAUCCGAACGACACAAUCCGCAAACUGACAAUAUACAGAAAAGGGAAAAACACUAGGUAAGCAUUUUGAAUGCUUAAUAAGCCCAUAUAAAACUUACUCAACUUACCUUAAUAUUUUAACAAUUAGGUAAAUGUACUACAUUAAAAUUAAGCUUAAAAUUCCUUUGGCAUCACAUUCCUCUAUAUGCAAUUCAAUAGACACAUCAAUGGUUAGUUCAAUUCCAUAGCACAAGUUUAUAUCACAAUCAUAUAGAUACAUAAAUUUCCAUCACAUAACAUAUAUAAACUAUUUUAUAUUAAAAACUUCAACAUGUAGAAUUCCAUUUACAUAUGCAUUCAUUUCUAUUUUCACCCGAAGAACCAUAGUAAAUUGAACUUGGCUACACGGAACUGAAUUAAUUACUAUGCUGACAUUAUCAGGCUACUAACAUUAGCUUUGGAUCAGGGUUGCUAACACUAGCUUAGUUUGAUGCCACUAACACUAGAUUCAAAGAAUCCACAACAUAUAUUAGAUCUCAAGUCAUCGAAUUAAUCCUCGAUCACAACACCCAUUUGUUUAUACAAGCCGACAUAUUCAGAUUGCUAACACUAGCUUCAGAUCAAAGUUGUAAACACUAGCUUAGUAUGAUGCUAUUAACAUUAGCUUCAGAGAACCGCAACAUAUGUUGGAUCUCAAGUCAUCGUAUUAAUUUCCCAUUUUUCUUUUCUGUAUCAAUUUAAACCCUAUAGUCAUACACACUUUUCAUAUAUCGAAUAGUAAUUCAUAUACAUCUUAACUUUGUAACAUCAUCAUAUACACAUAUUCAAAUCUUAUAACAAUUUCACAUCAUUCCAUACCAUAUAUUUCAUAUUUUACAAUUUAGUUCAUUUUAUGCCAAAGAUUAUUGAAAUUACAACUAACCUAAAUUAAUAAAUAUUAUUGUAACAAGCCAAAUUCAUCCGGCCCAAACCCAAACAAAACAAACCAAAAAACAAUUAAAAUAAAUAAAAGUCCAUUAACAUUCCAAAUUACAAGCCCAGGCCCAAUCUAUUAACCUAAACCCCAAGCCCGAAUACAAACAAAAACCCUAAAGCCCAAUAACCCACUAUCCUAAGCUUUAAAAAAAAAAACCUAAAAGUCCCUAAGACUUCAGCCGCCGCCCUUGCCACGUUAGCAGGCAUGCCACCUAAGGCCUGACACCUCCUUGUCAUUGCCACCACCACCUGUAAAAAAAAGAGAAAUAGAGACAAAGAAGCAGAGAAAAGAAAGAAAAAAAGUAAUAUUAUUUUGUAAUAUAUUUCAACUAUAAAAGCCGAAAAUAGAUUGUAAAAAAAAAUUGACAAAGAAUACAAAAAAACAAUCAAGUUAAAAAAGGUGGUUCUUUUAUUUAAUCUACUAUUUUAUUUUCUUUUAUUUUAUUUCAUAAAAAGCAUAUAAAAUAAAAUAAAAACAAGGUUUAAAAAAAAAACUUACCUCAUGGCGUCAUCUUCCACCACCAUCGUCGGUGGCUAUCUAUCGAUUCGAAGGGUCUUCAAACCCAUUAGGGUUCACUGAUGACCUCGACAGAGAAGAGGAAAAUAGAAUACAAUAAAAAAAUAAUAAAGUUUAAAAAAAAACAAAGGUAGCCGAUCUUUUUUUUUAAUACCUUUUUAUUUCAUAAAAUAUAAAAAUAAAAAACAAAAUAUUUAAAUUUUUUUUACCUGUUAAGCGCCCUCAUAGAAUCCUUUCCUCUGACUCGAGAAGCCUUGGAACCCCUAGGGUUCUUCGAGGGCCUCGUCAAAAAAUUGAGAAACCAAAAGGUUUCUUUUCUUUCGGCCAAACCUUGACUAAAUUUCUAGGGAUUUAAACCCCAAAUCUGUAUUCUACUUGAAAAGAGGGUCAAAAUGGGGAACUCCAACCAUUGGAGGCGACAAUUUCCGUCAUCGAUGACCAGUGGCCAUGGCAAAGACCCACCAUCUCAUGGCCAAACAAAAAAGGGAGGUUGAGAGAGCAGAUAGAGUAUUUUUUUUUAAGGUUACAAAUGAUUUUUUUUAAAAUAUUUUUGACUUAUAUAAGCCCCUUAAAACGACGUCGUUUUGGGCUUGGCUUUAGACGCCCAAAACGGUGUCAUUUCAAGCCUAAUCCAAAUAUCCCACCCGACCCCUCCUACGAUCCACGUGUUUUUGAAUGGAAGGGUUAAUUGCCAUUUUGGUCCUUCCACCUUUUUGCCACUUUUUAAUAUCAUCCUAUUUCCUUUUUAUUUGUUUUAAUUUUAUCCCUUUCAUUUUAUUUUCUUACAUUUUAGUCCCUUGACCUACUAUUGACCCAUUGAGGGUGACACGUGUACUGGGGUUGGGGAAAAUAGCACACUAGGUGCCUAUAUAUUUCCAUUUUGUUUUAAUUUAAUCCUUUAUUUGUUUUUUUUGUUUUCUUGCAAUUCGAACUUUAAAAUGUUUUAGGGUUUCAAUUUAGUCCUUAUUUUUUAUUCAAUCCUUUUACUUUAUGUUAUUUAAAUUCCAGCAUGUUUAAAUUUUUAUUUAUUAUUUUGCCCUUUAAAUUAAGAAAUUUACAUUUUACCCUCAAAUUUCCCAAUUAUUUCCUUUUUCAAUUUAGUCCUCUAUUCAUUUUAUUCAACAUAUUUAUUUCUUUUUAAUUCCCUACACUUUUAAUCUUUGUUAUUUAUAUUUCUGCCCCUUCAAAUUGUAUAAUUUGUUAUUUGGUCUUUAAUUAUUAUUAGCACUAAUUAACAUUUUUUAUAACAUUAUUAUUAGUUAUGAUAUAUUGCAUUAUUUAUGUUCUUAUGACAUCAUAUACAACAUUUAAGCAUACUCAUAUAUCUCAUAUAUGGUAUUAUGUUCGAAUAAGUCCAUAGUAUGUCAUAUUAGAAGCUUCAUUUUCAUACAUUGUAUAUUUAGCAAUUGGAACCAAGGCGGUGUUCUUUAAUUAGGGGAUUCGAAAAAUUGUGCCUUUAACUUACGGAGUAUGAUUUUCUCUUUGAACCGAAUUAAUCGAACUUCUCUCCUCCUUUUUUUAAAAAAAAAAAAAGAAGAAGAAAUUUUAAAAAUACAUAAGAUUUGGGCAAUAAUUAAACGAUGAACGUUCUUAUUUUCGAGAAUUCGAGAUUUUGUGUCCCAACUUACAGGACAUGACUUUUUUCUUAAUCGACCCGAAAUGACAAAACCUCUUCAUUAAAAAUUCAAUUUAGAUAGUGACAUUUUAUGUGCCAUCAAAUAACAUCAUGUAAAAAGGGAUCGCAUUUUAGAUUCUCUUCGGAUUCUCAAUUUUUGAUGUCAAGACGUUAAGUAAUCAACUAGUUACCAAUUUUGGGUGUUAUGAGGGUGCUAAUCCUUCCUCAUACAUAACCGACUCCUGAACCCAUUUCCUGGAUUUUGUAGACCGAAAAUCAUCUUUUAGUAAAUCUAACAUUUUGUUAAAUUGACCAAGUUUUGAGGUGGUCCAAUCACACCUAAUUAAAAAGGAUUAGUGGUGACUCUAUUUUCGUUUUAAAAUAACAAGUAAAUUUCCAAAAUGGUUUCGAAAAUUAUAAUAUAAUUCAAAGAUAACAUAAAAUAACAUAGUAAGUUCCAUAUGGGCUAACUUGGAAAAGCAGCAAGCAAACAAGGUGUUAAGGAAUAAUCUGUAAUUUCUCCUUUUUUUUCGAUUAUCUUUCGAUUGAUUCAAAUUUUGAUUUAUAAUAAUUUAUUACAAUUUAUGAUUUCUAAACAUCUUUUAACAAUCUAUUAUAACCAUAAAUCAGUUCAAUUUCUAUUUUUGAAAGUUUUCUAAAGUUUUUCAUUUUAUUCAAUUUAGUCCCUAAGAUUGAAAUAGCUAUAACUUUCAAAUUUGAGUCUCGAUUUCGAAAUCGAUCUCAAUUCAUUCUUCUACAGCCCUCUAAUAACUAUAUUUAUAGAAAUUUCACACAAAAUUCAAAAUUAUUACAUUUUAGUCUCUAAGUUCAAAACUAACAAUUUUCAUUUUACAAAUUAGUCAUUUUUCAAAUCUAAGUCUAACUAUUUAACACUAAAACUUCAAGCAUUCAUCAAUUGCAUCAUUUAUAAACUUUAAUAAUUUCAGAAAGUAAUACGUGAGUUAACUAAAUUAAACUUUAAUGAUAUCAAAAACAUAAAAUUUACGAAAAAUGAACUUUUAGUUUAGUUACAUGCGAGGGCCGAAGACCUUAAAAACAAAACAAUGACUUCUUCUUCUUCUUUUUCCUCCUACAAUCAGUGGGGGAUGAUGGAAAAAUAAAAGAUAGUGACUUUCAUUUUAUUGUUUUAUGUUUAUUUUAUUCUUUUAACUUAUUAUAUUUUUAAUUUUAUUUUAUCAAAUCCUCCAACUACCCGUCCACUAACAUAUAAAAUGGCUUAUUUUCCAUUUUGUACCAUGGUCUAAUUACAACUUUAGUCAUUUAGCAAUUACAAAUCAAUAGCAAUUAACUUUUGUUAUUUUUAUGAUUUAGUCUUUAUACUCUAAUUAGCUAUCUAAACGGCAAAAUUAAUGGGUCAAACUUCAAUUAAAUAUUAUACUAACCUCGUAAUAUUUACGGACUGGCAUGUCGAAAAUGGGGUUCUGAAACUACUGUUUCCGACACCAUUGACUUUCAGGUCGAAACACUUGUACCUUAACUAACUAUCCAAUUAACAAAAUCGUCAAACCAAAAUUUAAUAUAAUACUCAAAUUAACUCACAAAUAUUAAUUAAUAAUAUUUACAGAUUUGAUUAUCGGAGAACGAAAUUUCGAAACCACUAAAAAACAGGUAGUUACAAUAUAAUAUUAAAAGUGUAUGAUUGUGUAAAUAUUGUUUAAAUUUUUAAAAAAAAAAUUUUAGAUAAUAUGUUUCUAAACUAUUAUCUCUUAUUUUUAAAAAUAAAAAAGAAAGAAUAUUUUUAUAUUAAUAUAAGCUUUAACGGUAUUUGAAUGAAAAAUAAAGGUUUGCAUAUUUUCAAAUUAAUUAUAAAUAAAUUUGUAUAUCUAUUAUAAUUUUUUAAUGAGUUAGAAAUUUGAAUCAGAAUUUAGAAACAAAACAACUAAAUUUAGAAGAAAAUUAGGCGCAUACUAAGCACGUUACAUUUCACGAAAUAGAUAAUUUUCAAAGGGGGUGUUAUAAUAAAUAUUGAUAAUAGUAAUAGAAUAAUUGCAAAAUAAUAAAAAAUAAGAAUAUAUAAAUUUUAGGUAAAAAAUUUUGAAUUAGAGAAAAAAAAUUAACUAAUAUUAAAAUACGAAAUUUGUUAGGCGCAUAGACACGUUACAUUUCACAAAAUAGAAAAUUUUGAAAACGACAUAUGGCGACAAGCUCUAAUCAUAUCUAAUAAUGUGGUGGAUUUUUUUUCAAUUAAUGGUCUACAGAUACAUCUAACCCAAUAGCACUGAUAAUGACUUCUUUUAACUCUUUCUCCUAAAACACUGUAUUAGCCAUAAUGUCAAUUUUAUUCUCCAUUCAGUCUUUUUCUUGUUUGCUCAUCUAAAUGACAAGCUUUCAUUUUCUUUCAACUUAAAAAGUCUCAAGAGUAAUAAAAUGAUUGAAACAGAGUAGGAUAAGUAGACUCUUCCUCUCAAGUUUCAAACAAAUUUGAGCAGAUAAUUAGAAUGGCAGUAUUCAUCUUUCUUCUAGCUCUCCCUUUCUUCCUCUUCAUAACUCUCCUGAAACGUAGCAUUAGCAACCAUGGCGAUUGCAAUCAUCUUCCCCCAGGCCCUCCAAGUCUUCCCUUGAUUGGUCACUUACAUAUGUUGAUGUUUGAUAACUCAGACCUCCUUCAUAUUUUCCUUUGGAAACUCUCUAAACAAUAUGGUUCUCUCCUGCCCUUACGAUUUGGAUGUAGGCCAACCCUUGUAGUUUCUUCAGCAAAAAUGGCUAAAGAGGUUAUGAAAACUCGUGACCUCGACUUCUGCAGCAGGCCUACUCUAUGUGCUAUUCGCAAAUUAUCUUACAAUGUCUCGGAUUUGUCUUUUUCACCAUACAGUGAGUACUGGAAGGAGAUUAGGAA
rnacentral:lncRNA from 1 species